rnacentral:rRNA from 1 species
UACGGAGGGGGCUAGCGUUGUUCGGAAUUACUGGGCGUAAAGCGCACGUAGGCGGCUUUUUAAGUCAGGUGUGAAAUCCUGGAGCUCAACUCCAGAACUGCCUUUGAUACUGAGAAGCUUGAGUCCGGGAGAGGUGAGUGGAACUGCGAGUGUAGAGGUGAAAUUCGUAGAUAUUCGCAAGAACACCAGUGGCGAAGGCGGCUCACUGGCCCGGUACUGACGCUGAGGUGCGAAAGCGUGGGGAGCAAACAGG